rnacentral:rRNA from 1 species
AGCAGCCGCGGUAAUUCCAGCUCCAAUAGCGUAUAUUAAAGUUGCUGCAGUUAAAAAGCUCGUAGUUGAAUUUCGGGACCGAUAUAUCGGUCGUGCCUCGGUACGUACUGGUAUUUUCGGUUUCUCCCUUCUGACGAACCUUGAUGUCAUUAAUUUGGUGUCUUGGGGAAUCAGGACUGUUACUUUGAAAAAAUUAGAGUGUUUAAAGCAGGCUCACGCUUGAAUACAUUAGCAUGGAAUAAUGAAAUAGGACGUUUGAUUCUAUUUUGUUGGUUUCCAGGAUCGACGUAAUGAUUAAUAGGGAUAGUUGGGGGCAUUAGUAUUCAAUUGUCAGAGGUGAAAUUCUUGGAUUUAUUGAAGACUAACUACUGCGAAAGCAUUUGCCAAGGAUGUUUUCAUUAAUCCAAGAACGAAAGUUAGGGGAUCGAAGACGAUCAGAUACCGUCGUAG